rnacentral:rRNA from 1 species
CGCGGUAAUUCCCGCUCCCAUAGCGUAUAUUAACGUUGUUGCAGUUAAAAAGCUCGUAGUUGAAGUGAGGGAGUGUGUGUUGUGAUCGAAUCGAUCGAGAGCAGUACAACCUCCCCCUUCCAAUGGGUGUAUUGGGGUAUUCAUUUACUUCAUUACUCCUUUGGUCGUUUACUGUGAGAAAAUUAUAGUGUUCAAAGCGGGCGUUUGUUUGAAUAGAUUACAUGGAAUAAUGAUUGAAGGCUUUCGUGUUCGAUUUGAUUGGUUUGUUCAUGGAAGCAAGGUUAAAAGGAACAGUUGGGGGUAUUCAUAUUCACUAGUUAGAGGUGAAAUUCUCGGAUUUAUGGA